rnacentral:tRNA from 1 species
GGAGAGAUGGCCGAGUCGGCUGAAGGCGGUCGCCUGCUAAGCGAUUGUACGGGCAAAUACCUGUACCGAGGGUUCGAAUCCCUCUCUCUCCGCCA